CAAGAGGGGUGCCGUUGCCGGAGAAGGCGCGGCUGAGAUAAUACCCUUUGAACUUGACUCGGUUCAUACCGACGGAAGGACUUGAUG
rnacentral:ncRNA from 1 species